rnacentral:lncRNA from 1 species
CCAGAAUUUAUUCCAGUAAUGCAAUCUGAAUAAAUACUACAAGCGCGCGAGCCUACUAGCUUGAGCUCUAAGCUCCGCCCACGUUUUUUCACAGCGCGUGACACCCAAGGUGGAUUGUUUGAUCGAAUAAACGCUGCCGCGCGCUGUCAGGAUCUGUCUGUCCGCAAAGGUAAUUUGAGGAUUUCACCUGUUCCGUCUCUGAUGGAAAACCGACAACAAGGUUUGAAUCUGGGUAUGUUUUACCCCCCGGGUGAGGAGUCGAACGGCAGGAGCUCAUACAGGGAGGACCUGGCUCCGCUGGUCCAAAAUGGGGAGAACCUGACCCAGUGGUGUAAAGCCUCACCUCAGGAGAGGGAUCAGUGGUGUCACACAUCUGUGUCCUACUCUGACCUGUGGGUCACAUCCUCGACUUGGGACAUACAGGAAAACGGCUCAGGUGACGAGGGAAGUAGACUAAAGCUAGACUAGAUUUCUAGUCCUUUUGGUUGAACACCUAGACUACAAUUUGUACUCGUAAUCUUAAAUAUUCUUAAUAAUGUGAUUGUUAAUCCAGGCAUAAUGGAUGCUAAACUGCUUCCUACAUAUUUUCGGAAAUAUUUCUUAUAUCUAGAGUUCAACCAAAGGUCGACGUCUUGAUAUUGUAGAAGAUGAGGAACCUGUUAGUUUACUUUAAAAAAAUGUCGAUUUUACAGAAGAUUCUAACUUCAAAUAUAGAUCUUUUUUCUGAAAACUGAGCUAAAAAUGAGCCCAUUUGUGUCUGAUGUGCCAUAUUUGUUUGAUGUUUGCAUUCACUUGAGUACCCAGUCCUGAAUGUUUUGGUGUGUAAAGAAGAGAAGUAGGAUGUUGCCCAAACAUGCUAAGACAUCCCAUGACCCAGAAAAGAACCGGCACCAUUCAGUGGCUUCAUAAGGAGCAGCCCACUGGGUGUUUUUUUUAGCCUGGUAACUUGAUGUAAAUGCUUGCAGCAAACACAGUUUACAGCACAGACAUUUUCAUUGUGGGUCUGUAUGGUCACUUAGCCUCCCCAUCUCUGAAGAAAACUGUCAGGAACAAUCUUCUCGAAGCAUGUAACUUCUGCCUUUAGAUGACAAAAACCAGCAUGUAUUAUGCAUAACAUGCAGAUAAACAGGUCUCUCCUUAUACUGCAUGGCAUCUAAAGCCGUCUUCUACCUCAACCACUGCAGUCUGCUCCCCUCUCUGCAUUUGAACUGGGAAAAGUUUCUGCAUUUAAACAAACUCUCACACUUUUGUUUCUACUUGUUCUGCUUGAACUCUUGGAUUUGAAGCCCCAACUUUAAGGAAAUGCUUCUACCGCGUCUCUUUGGUUGGCUAACCUUCCCUCCAUGCUGUAGAAACAAACAAAAAAAGAAUGUUUGAAGAACUUGAGACCCCUGAUGUGUGAUGCUAGCUGCAGCAGCUCUUUGCUUGGUGUGAGCGUGCUGUGUUUGAGCUAAACCUCAUACGUGUGCUGUAGUUUUCACUGUCAACAGCAGUCAGUCAAAUCCAAAAAGCCCCACAUCAGCCUUGACUGACCCCACUG